CUCGGGCACCGCGGCCCCUCCGCGGGCGGGGCGGGGAGGGGACGGCCCGCGGAAAUCUCGGCUUUGUCUCCUCACGGCUUUGGAAUGUCACUCAAGGAGGCUCUGGGAUCUCCCAGCCCCUGGAACACCCAAAUGGAUGUCAUGCUGCCCAUGCCUUCUCUGGAAAAAUAACAUUUUCAGAGGGUCUCAUCUAAUAAAGCUGUGGCUUUUUUUAUGAUGAGUGUACCACCUAUCCUGUCAUCUCUACCAGUAAAAAUUAUCUCCUCAGAAGUCAAGCAAUUCCUGUAUACAAACCUAUGAUUAUCCAAAAAGAACCCU